rnacentral:rRNA from 1 species
AUUGAACGCUGGCGGAAUGCUUUACACAUGCAAGUCGAACGGUAGAGGGGGCAACCCCUUGAGAGUGGCGAACGGGUGAGUAAUAUAUCGGAACGUGCCCAGUCGUGGGGAUAACGUAGCGAAAGUUACGCUAAUACCGCAUACGAUCUAAGGAUGAAAGCGGGGGAUCGCAAGACCUCGCGCGAUUGGAGCGGCCGAUAUCAGAUUAGGUAGUUGGUGAGGUAAAGGCUCACCAAGCCAACGAUCUGUAGCUGGUCUGAGAGGACGACCAGCCACACUGGAACUGAGACACGGUCCAGACUCCUACGGGAGGCAGCAGUGGGGAAUUUUGGACAAUGGACGCAAGUCUGAUCCAGCCAUUCCGCGUGCAGGAUGAAGGCCCUCGGGUUGUAAACUGCUUUGUACGGAACGAAAGGUUUGUCUUAAUACGAUGAGCUCAUGACGGUACCGUAAGAAUAAGCACCGGCUAACUACGUAGCCAGCAGCCGCGGU